rnacentral:rRNA from 1 species
CAGCCGCCACGGGAAUACGAGGGGGGCAAGCGUUGUUCGGAAUUAUUGGGCGUAAAGGGUGCGUAGGCGGCUUUUUAAGUCGGAUGUGAAAUCCCUGAGCUUAACUUAGGAAUUGCAUUCGAUACUGGGAAGCUAGAGUAUGGGAGAGGAUGGUAGAAUUCCAGGUGUAGCGGUGAAAUGCGUAGAGAUCUGGAGGAAUACCGAUGGCGAAGGCAGCCAUCUGGCCUAAUACUGACGCUGAGGUACGAAAGCAUGGGGAGCAAACAGGAUUAGAGACCCCUGUAGUCCCUGUCUCUUAUAC